rnacentral:tRNA from 1 species
GCGUGGAUGGUUUAGUGGUAGAACAUAACGUUGCCAACGUUAGGAUCCGGGUCCGAUUCCCGGUCCGCGCA